AUGGCGACCGGCGCACGGGUGAGUAACACGUAUCCAGCCUGCCGAUAACUCGGGGAUAGCCUUUCGAAAGAAAGAUUAAUACCCGAUGGCAUAAUUAGACCGCAUGGUCUUAUUAUUAAAGAAUUUCGGUUAUCGAUGGGGAUGCGUUCCAUUAGGCAGUUGGUGAGGUAACGGCUCACCAAACCUUCGAUGGAUAGGGGUUCUGAGAGGAAGGUCCCCCACAUUGGAACUGAGACACGGUCCAA
rnacentral:rRNA from 1 species